rnacentral:rRNA from 1 species
AUGCGUCGCCCAAAGCCGACGCCGUUGUCGAGCCGAACCAGCCGGCCUAGGGUUUCCCCCGGUCCCAAUCUGCAACACCAUCCCCAGAAGCACCGGAACCAGCAGCAUCCACCGGCCACAAGCGCAAAGGGGAAGGAGCGGGAAGGAGGGAGUAGCAGGCCUCCAGAUCUGGCGAGGACGAAGGCCCCCGAACUGCCGCCGCCAAGCGCCGACUCCCCACCACCCGAGCGGUCGAGGACGCCGGGCAGAGUCCCCGCGCACACCGUCCAGAGCGUGAACGACGGCGCCGAACCAGCAGGGGCCGCCGCCCCGUGGAUCCAGAUCUCCGCGAAAGGGACGAUGAAGUCCUCGCCGCCACCUUCCUCGGCAGCCGCGCGACGCAUCGGCGGCUCCUCUAGUGGCGACGAGAAGGAGAAGAAGGGGGAGGGGGACCACCGCCGGCGGCUAGGCACGCCCCGUCCAAUUCCAUGGACGACAUCGACGACCGGGACAUGCGCCCAAGCUGAUGAGGACAUCGUCGAGUCCGACCUCAACCUCUACUAUGAGGUCGUCCACCACGACUCCCAGCAGAGAUUUCAAUUCAGUGAUGCUCUGCUUCCUUCAUGGAGAAAGGGUCGAGCAGAGAAGGGUUCAAUGGACGGCGUUUGCGAGGAGAAAGAAGACCACCGGGACAGGAGGGAUCCCACGCCCGACGAGCUCGACGACCUAACAGAACCUCUAUGUACUGCUCAGGUCGUGAUGAUACUCUACCGGGUGGCUUCCGGCAUCGACCUUGACACCAUGAAGUACAUCCAUUUCCAAGCGACUCACUGUCCGAUGUUGCCCCUCAAGUAUGAUGCACUUGUAACCCGCGGCGUCACCUGUGCCUCAGCAGAUUACAUGGUGAAGAAGCUCCGUGUCGACAAGAGCAUCAUCCUGAAGCACUGCAUCCUCAACUACAAGCAGAUCGAUCGGCCGGUGCCCGCCUCUUCAACGUACGGAAAGAUGGCGUCCACCAACGCCAACGCUUGCGUGGGCGGCGCCCAAGCCAACUCAUCGGCGGCGGACCGGUGGUCCAGCGGCAUCCCCGAUGAUCUCCUAGCGAUAAGCUACCUCAGGCUCGCCAAGCCGAUCGACCGCGUCCGCUUUCCGGCUGUGUGCACGGCAUGGCGUGCCGUUGCGUCGAUGCACCUGGCACGCGGCCGUUUUCCAUGGCUCAUCCUUGACCCAAGCGGCAGCCACGAGACGAAUUAUGCCUACUGUCCAGAAGAGGGCAUGGUCCUGCCGCGGCCCUCUCUCCGCAGCGAGGCAGCCCGCCGGUGCUUUGUGGGCAGCCACGAUGGUGGCUGGGUCGCCUCAUCCGAGAUGAUCGUUAACCUCUUCUCCGGUGCUAAGAUGUCGCUCUUGCGGGAGGAUAUGGUCCACCCACGCCAGUGCAUCCAACGGCGUCUGACCCUGGCACCCCCGCCGGCAUCUGCCGGGCCGACGACGUCGCCGGCGACGGAGGUCUCGUCUGGUUCAAGGUUCUCUUGCCUGGGAUCGGAAAUUGAGUCCUCCGACGAGGAGGAUGCGCAGGCUGUCGGCGUGCAGCUAGCACUAGAAGUGCUUCGGGAGGAUGCUGAAGGUGGGAAGUGGACCACGGUGGAUCGCCGGAAGAAGAAAACGGAGGCGGAAUUGGUCCAGGAGUUCUGGAACGAUGCGGGCUUCCCGACGCCGGCGUCUCGCUUCUGGGAGCAUCGGUCGCCGGUGUCGCCGAGAGAGUCUUUGAUUCCUGAUGGAUCGGGGAUCGACGACGCAGAGGGAUCGGAGAUCGCAGGUUCGAGGUCGCCGUCGGUGGCCCCAGGGUUUGUCGGCCGCAAGCCUGUGUUGACGCCGGCCGGUUUGAGUAUGGCCCGGCCGCCGCGUAUGGGGGCUUGGCGAGGACCCCUGCCGCCGCGCCGGGUGACGCCUCCACCGGUGCUGGGGCAGUUCUUGGACGCGGCCAGGCGAAGCCCCACCUCGGCAAAUCGGCAGUGUACGCCGGCGACGGAAACUUCGCCGGGAUCUGAGGUUGUUCGGGAGCCGGGUUCGGGGCCGAGAUCACCGGGAAUUCAAACUCAUGUGGCCUCGGGCUUUGGGCCCAUGCAUGCAACGACGGAGACGGGCCAGACAGUGUUUUCCUGGGCCUUUCUGAAGUCGCGUAUGCGGGCGAUCUGGGCAGGUUUCCCUAAUCAGCAGACCGCGAUCACAGCAACUCCAUCGCUCAAUUCAUCGUCGCCCUCGUCCGCCGCCGAACCUCUGCACACCGCGCAGUCGCCGACUCCAGCUCCAGCUCCACCCCCAAGCGCCGGGGUCGUUGCCCGCUCCUACGCGGCGGUCGCGGCGACGCUUCAGCGCCCCAUGGCGGGCGUUCCUCCGACGGCUCGUGGCGCUGUAGCCUCGGGAGGGCCAAGCCCUCGUGCCCCUCCGAUCGUCGGGCCGACUCCCGCUCCUUCGCGUCCUUCGGCUCAGGCGCCGGGAUACUCCGGUCCUCCACAUCAGCAGCGGGGUCCGGCGCCGGUCUACAGCUAUGGCCCACCACUGCAGCAGUCCCCUGGAUAUGGCCAGGGAGGGCAGUACGCCUUGACGUACGUGUCUGAUGUGCAGGUGGAUACGGCGCCCAAGUACAAGGCUAAGAAAGGGUGUCCGGUUCUCAAACUCCCUAAACCCAAUGCUUUUGUUUCGGGAGUUGGUGCUGAGGAGACGUACUUUGUCCAGUUGCCUGAUUGCGUGGUGAAAAAUCACUUAGCACCAACACAGUCUCCGAUCGCCCGAGUUCAGGUUACCGGUUUAAUGGUACCGUCUAGUAUUGUUGAGAGCCAGAUUGCCAGGAGAUGCCCGGUACAUGAUCAAUGGAAGUGGGAGGCUAUUCAACAUGGGCAUGAUGCAUACCUUGUUAGCUUUCCAUCUUUCGAGGACUUGGACAGGGUGGAUGGUAUACAGAUGACCGUUCCGUCUGUUAAUUCUCAGAUGACCGUUACAGCAUGGAGGUCUCAGGAGGUCCCACAUAAGCUAGAGCUCCAGAAGAUUUGGCUCCAUGUCGAGGGGGUUCCCCAUACGGUGCGCCAUUUUUGGGGCUUAUGGGCCGUGGGUACUUUGAUGGGCAAGACCUUGGACGUGGAUCUUAUUAGCCUGCGUCGCCGUGGAGUUGUUCGUAUUCUCGUGGGUAUGACUAACUCUCAGAUUUUGUCAAAGGACAAGGACGACGCUGGGCCUUUUGUUGCUUCAGAUGUGGUGGUUAAGCUCAAGGGCUACACUUUCACGUUCAGGAGGGAGCCGGCAGGAUACAUUCCGGACCCUGACUUUGUCCCGUUCAUUUGGAGACGCAAGGGUGAUGAUGCUGACGAUGAUAGCGGCGCUAAGGAGAAGGAUGAUGAGAUGGACACUUCGGAACACACUGGAAAUCCGUCGAACCAUCCGUCGUCUAGUUUAGCACCGAAGGAUAACACUCAUGUGACUCAAGAUCAACGCCGGGAACUGUCGAGUGCUGGCUCUGGUGGUGCAACGAGAGGUGGUCCUGUGCUUUGGGCGGUCACUCCGUUUAACUCUUCGCCGCAGACGCCAAGAGGCAUGGAGCUUGUCGCGAAUCUUAGAGUCAACUCCACUUUGAGUAGUCCUCUCGGAAGAUCGCCGCGGGAUCAUACACAGGACUCGUCCUCAACUCCUUCACCGUGCGCUUUGUUUGCAUCGCAGCCCGCGCCGCAUUCUCAGCCGGCAUCAUCGCAGUCCGCUGCCCUCCAGUCGGUGCAAGACACCGGCGGCUCGGCGGGGCGCCUGGAAUCUUCUUCAGUGCACCUACAACCUGCUGCGAAGGUGGCGUCGCAGCCGCCGCCGCCGACGCGGACGGCGGCAGCCAAGCCGGCCGUCUUCAAGCCGGUGCAGACCGCCAGAGGCAUAGCGGGACGUCCGGUCACGCCUGUGAUGAGCCGGCAACCCAUGGCUUCGGUUGAGGCGGACAAGCAUGCAGCUCACGUGGAGCUAGACAUGCAUGCAGCUCACGUAGAGCUAGACAUGCAUGCUUCUAGUGGGCUUGGACGUGUAGGCCUACCCCAGGGUGUGCAGCCAUGCAUAGUUGAACCUACGGCUGCUGUUCAGUCUCAGUCGGAGCCGGACGUGUCCACUGCUGCUCUUGGGUCUCAGGCAGAGCCUGACGUGGUCGCCUCACCCAUGCCUGCAGUCAGGCCAUCUUUGGCAGUGGCGCCACGUGUACCGGCGGUCGAGAUUGCCGGGGAGGGGGUUGCUACUCCACCCUCAUCCCCUCCUCCGGCAGCAGUGCAUGCGCGACAUCCUUCACCGGGGGUGACAUCCACACGCCGAAGUGCUCGACAUGCGGUGGCCGAUGAUGGAAGGACGGACACCGACGAGGACUCUUUGACCAAGGCUAUGCGGCGUAAAGCUGUGCAGAACCUUGACAACCAAGGAAAUAAUGAGAAUGAUAUUUCUGUUUCCGCAAACGCUUUGAGACAUUUGGAAUAUGACCGAUUGAAGGUUACUCCACAAGUUUCUAGCAAAUCUUUUAUCUCACAUCUAGAUGAGGAGGAGCUGCAUGCCACAUCAGAUGGUCAGCUACUCGCUCAUGUAGUAGGGGAGGUUUCGGACGUGGGUUUGGAGGAACCGGGCUUAGUUCAUUGA